AACGCGAAGAACCUUACCUACACUUGACAUACCUCUUAGGGCUUUCAGAGAUGAUCGCUUUCAGUUCGGCUGGGGAGGAUACAGGUGCUGCAUGGCUGUCGUCAGCUCGUGUCGUGAGAUGUUGGGUUAAGUCCCGCAACGAGCGCAACCCUUAUCGUAUGUUGCCAGCAUUUAGUUGGGCACUCAUGCGAGACUGCCGGUGACAAGCCGGAGGAAGGCGGGGACGACGUCAAGUCAUCAUGGCCCUUACGUGUAGGGCUAGAAACGUGCUACAAUGGUGGUGACAAUGGGCAGCGAGGUCGUGAGGCCAAGCUAAUCCCAAAAAGCCAUCUCAGUUCAGAUUGUAGUCUGCAACUCGACUACAUGAAGUUGGAAUCGCUAGUAAUCGCAAAUCAGCAUGUUGCGGUGAAUACGUUCCCG
rnacentral:rRNA from 2 species